CUCCCAUCCCAUCCUCCCAAGCCACCCACCGACCUCCCAUCCCAUCCCCCAACCACCCCCGAAGGAGCUUGAGGCAUUCCAUGAGGGAUCAUCAAAAUAUGCUAAGUCAUUUCGGGAAGGACCUGAGCCCUCCUCUAAGUAUCCAGGCUAAGAGAGUAUCUCUCCAUGGGGAAUGGGCUCCCAAAGUCCAUUUGUGCACUGUGGAUACAUACUGCUUCCACUGCCAGAGGCUCCAUAGACUGUCCAGGGGGCCUGGUUUGGUCUUAUGUUGGUUCCCCAGCUAUCAGACUGGUGUCCAUGAGUUCCCACUUGCUCAAGUCAGCUGUUUCUGUGGGUUUUCCCAGCAUGGUCUUUACCCCUUUGUUCAUCAUUCCUCCCUCUCUACAACUGGAUUCCAGGAGUUCAGCUCCUUGCCAAGCUGUGUGUGGAUCUCUGCUUCUGCUUCCAUUAGGUACUGGAUGAAGGCUCUAGGAUGGCAUUUAAGCCAGAACCUGGAAGCAACCUAGAUGCCCCUCAGCUGAAUAAUUGAUGGAGAAAAUGUGGUACAUUUAUACCAUGGAGUGCUUAACAGUGGGAAAAAAAUGGAAUUGUGAUACUCGUAGGCAAAUGGAUGGAACUAGAAGAAACCAACUUAGUGAGAUAGCAUUAGACGAUGACUCAAAAAUGGACCUCUUCAGGAUCAACCCUCAGAUAUCCAGCCAUCUGUGACUAAAUUAUAAUUUUUU
rnacentral:lncRNA from 1 species